rnacentral:tRNA from 1 species
GCCCGCUUAGCUCAGUUGGUUAGAGCAUCUGACUGUUAAUCAGAGGGUCCCAGGUUCGAGUCCUGGAGCGGGCG